rnacentral:lncRNA from 1 species
CUAUGAUAAGGAUUCAAGGAUUAUCUUAUGGGUUGCUUGGUGGAUAAGCAACUAGAUAAGGAUAAUGACUGAAACUCUAUCUUUACACCUAUAUAAACCCUCUAGGGCUUAGGAAUUCGUCUAACCCUUCCCAAGAGGUCCUAAGGACGAAUUCCUACCUCCCUCCUCUCUCUUUAUACCUUCUCCACUUGCUUAUGGUGUUUGUAAGCCAUCAGAGGAGUGACACUUGUGACUCUCAGCUUUCCAAGGUCAAUUCAAGGAGGAAUUAGAUUGUUAUUGCUAUAUAACAAUCAAGGUAUGUUCUUAAACCUAUUUACAUGUGAAUUCUGAUUUCCAUAUGCUAGAAUUAGGGUUUAUAGUCUUGGAUUCAAAGCAUGUACAAUAGAGAAACCUAGAUCCAAGCAUUAGGGUUUGUAUGAGCACAUAGGAUGUCUUAUGACCAAAACCCAUCAGUGGUAUCAGAGCCUAGACUGGUUUCAAUUGUAUUGAUGCAUUACAUGUUCAAAAAAUUCGAUUUUUGAUGUUCUGGAGGCUGGACUCGCCGAGUCCAUAGCUGAACUCGCCGAGUCCAUGCAGACUCGACGAGUCCAAGCCUGACUCGACGAGUCAACUCGUCAGAUGGAGGGUAUUUCGGGAUUUCUUGUUGUUUUUGCUUAUGGAUAGUUACCUUAUCAUGUUAGAUCAAUAUUAAUCCGAUUAUAUGAUAUAUUUGACUAUAUUUUUGAUCUAAUUGAAGAUAUUUAUCAAUUAAUAAGAUAAUUGUUUCCUUAUGUGAUAAUUGAUUAAUUAUUUUGACUAAAUUGAUAAAUUGUUUUGCAAGAAAUCAUUAAAUAAAUCAAAUAUGGAUAAUUAUGUGAUUAAAUGUUAAUUUAGAUUAUUUGUUAUUUGAUCCUUGUUGUUAUGAAAAGUUUCAUAUUUUCCCCUUUAGGUUUUAUAGUUUAAAUUUGAACCCAAAAGUUUUGUUGUUUUGAAAUUUAAAUAGUUGAAACCCUAAUGUUUUGAAAAAGGUUUCAAAACUUGCCCUCAAGUUUUGGAAUUUAAAUUUUGAUUAAAUGGUUUAAUUUUGAUGUAUAUUUAAAUUCUAAACCCUAAUGUGUUGAAAUGUUUCAAAACUUGCCCUCAAGUUUUGGAAUUUAAAAGUUGAUUAAAAGUUUAAUUAGGAAUGUUAAAUUCUAAAACUCUAGUAUAGUUUUGAAAAAGUUCAAAUCACACCCUUAUGGUUUUAUUAAUUAAUUAAGGUGUAUAAUUAAAAGAGGUUUAAUAAAUCCAUAAAAGUUUAGGUUUACAAUUUAAUUGAAUUAAAAGUAUAAUUGUUAAAUUUGACCACCUAGUAUUUUAAAAGUGUAAAAUACACCCUAUACUAUAUAUAACAUUAAAAGUCUAACAUUAUAUAUAUGUAUGAGUAAAAGUCAGUCUUACCGUUAGUAGGCCUCAUUCACGAAGCUGGUCUAUAAGGGGUGUUUAAGGAAAUUGCCUAUAAAAUGGCGAUUGAAUGGGUAUCCACUCUUACCCACCGCACUCUUGACUAGUGGAGGGUCGUUAGCCGAACGGGUAGGAUAGGACGAAACCUUCCAUUAUAAGUAUAAUGAAGUAUAAAAGUAACUAAAUGUUUUCAUAAAAUUCCCAAUCUUAGUUACUUAGGCAAAAGUGAAUUGAUGCAAUUCCAUGAAAUUACACUUUGUGCCCUUGCGAAGACGUUAGUGGAGCGUGUGUGGUUUACCGGCACACUAAAUGGUUCUAAGCAAAGGUAGCAAAGGGUGACUCAAUGUUUGUCAUAGUUCGGUGGAGCGUGUGUGGUUUACCGGCACAUCGAAUAGGUGACUGUAACAUGUGAGGGCACCAUGUAAGUUUGCAUGGUUAUUCACACCCGCUUUGUGAUCCUCGGCAUCCCAGUCACAAACAAGAGGGGCAUAUCGAGAUUUAAACAUGCCAUUGAAAUGUUCAAUGAAUCUCAAAGGAUCUAGGAGUUUUCAUAGAUUUAAAACUUAAAUUUCUUUUUCGUUUUUCAUGGUGGAAAUUAGUGAAUCGUCAUUCACUUACCUUCAAAUGUUCUGCAAUUUGGGUUACGGCAUCCCUCUCCCGAGUUGUAGAAUAUUGUGUUGGGUCCUAGCCUUAGUAUCUCAUUUGGGUGAUUUACUAAGGACUCAAUCAAUCAACUAACUUGAAUUCGUUUUCUCCCGUUUUGUAGAUGUCAAAGUUCGACAACUAUGGUCUUCCCAAAUCCCGUGGAACAAGCAUUCCACAUGAAGAUGAUAUUCCACGAUUCGAUCGAGGAACAAGAAAUCAUGCUUCACUUCCUCCACCUCCUCCAAUUAUUCUCCCUAACCCACAAGUUCAAAGGCUUGAAAAGUUCAAGAUCACUCAAGCCCUUUUGGCAAGUAAACAUAAAGAAGGAAAGUCGGUGUGUGCACACGUCCUAGGGAUGAAGUCACACAUUGAUAGGUUAAGAAUGUUGGGAUCCGUUGUCUGUGAGGAAAUGGCUGUUGAUUGGGUUCUUCAGUCACUUCCUAACUCAUAUAGUGAGUUCGUAAGAGAGUACUAUAUGAUGAACUGCGACGUGACCCUUAUAGAUCUCACCUAUAUGCUUAUUGCUGCUGAAUCAGCAAUGGUUUGGCGCAAUAGAAAAGCAAAGUUGAUUGGUGAAUCUGCCUUCAAGACCUCUAUGGAUAUAGACAAUGGCAACGAAAGACAUGCUAUGAUCGAAAAGUUUGAUCAUAAGAGAAAGGCAAUGUCUGAAGUAGUUCCAUGUCAUGUUCCAAAAGAGUCAAUUUGCUUUUAUUGCCAAGAGAAAGGGCAUUGGAGACGAAGCUGCCCCAUUUACCUAAGAGAUCUAAGAGAUGGGAGAGUCGAAACGUAUGGCUCUAAUAUAGGUAAAAUCCAUUAACUAACUCUUUUAAGCUUCUAUUCUAGAUUCUUAAUACAUAAUGUGAUAAGAUUACAAUUGAUGUUUUGUAGGAUCGAAGAAAAGAAAGGAAGCUUAAGGGAAGAAGUGAGCAGAAUCUAACCGUGAAGGAAUGGAUUUCGAUCGCAUUUCUCAAAGAUUAGAUUCUUGAGCUACUACUUAGAGUUAGAAUUAGAUUGCUAAGAAAGAUGUAUUAGCAUAAGUUUUUCAAUGAGUUGCAUUGUAAGGACAAAUUUUUCCGCAAUAAAAUAAAUUUUGAUUUUAAAUUUUAUUUAUUUAUCCUUACAAUGGCGUGUAUGAAAAAUUGAUGUUAAAAUGUUUCUAUUAUUAGCAAUAAUGGAUUUGGUUCUUAUUAUGUUAUUUAUGGAAAGUCGAGAAUUUACCAAAUAGGGAGAGUUUCUCAUCGCCCAAGUUUCAAUUGGACAGAAACUUGGAAUCAUGCAACUUGGUUGCACGAUGAAUGAGAAAUUUCAUAUUUGGAAAUUAGACUAAUUCAUUGACAAAGUGUCAAGUGAAGGACUAGGAGAUCGAGUACACAAAGUUGCGUGUUGAUCAAGUCCACCAUAAGAGUAACAAAGAUAUUCGUCAUGAUUUACUAAAGGUUUAGUAAAUAUGAUUAUACUUAUAAGAUUAAGUGUAAUUCUGAAUUGAUUGAAAAGGUUUAAAUCAAUAGCAGAACGAAUAAGAAGAAUCAAGUAGGCAGAAAGAUAAAAGUUUCUCCAUUCUAAGAAGAAGGGAGAGUACCUUUUAUGCUUUAUGAUAGGUCUUAAUGAUUAAGAACCAUAUCUCAAUUGAUCCUCUAAGUGAGUCUUAGUACAAUUGUAUGUCUAAGAAGAGGAAUCAAGAAUUGAAGAAAUGGUUAAAUCAAUAAGUCAAUCAUACUUCGUUCCAAUAACAAGUCUUAAAGUUAAGAUUGUGACAUUGAGUGAAAGGUAUUAAGAAGGUUUGUAACUUUCAUUAAAUGUGGAAAGUUGUGAUGUCUUGGAUAAGACAAAGACCAACUAGGACCAAUUUAUGAAGUGUUUUGAUAAAAGCUACACUAACUCUUGAAUAUUUGUUUGUCAAGAAAUGUUUUUUGACAAGAGAAUCUUAUAUGUCAAGGAGUCAGUGGGAGUCUUAAUGGUCUUGAAAGGUUUCAAGAACAAAUCAAAUAAACCUUAUCGAUCAUCACUAGCACACGAGUUGAGGUUUACAACCUAUCGUGUUGACAUUAUUUUGAUUCUGUGCCAAUCCAAUCGAGUUAAUUAUGCAUGUGAGUUCUAUGAGUUCUCAUUUUGAACGCAUAAAAGGCAAAGCACCUUAAUCAAUGAAAGGUACAUUGAUAGGAAAGGGUGAGCUGCUUAACUACUUGGAAGACAUGGUGGGCAGCUGUGCUACCAUAAAGGCAAGAAAUCGAGAUCAAGAAAGUUCGAUCCAUAAGAGUUUGAAUUUGUCGUAAACUUUGGUUUUGACAAAUUCACAUGGAUAGGAACAAAUACACCGUUUAAAUCUAAGUGUCAUAAGAUUUCCUCCUUCAUGAAAAUGAUUGUGAGGAAAUGCUUUCACUAAGACAGAUUUUAAGAAGAUAGUGAUUGUAAAAUUGCAUUCUCGAAUUCAAUUAUGGUUACGGCAUCCCUUUCCAUAAUUUGAAUUGUGAGGUUUGGCAAUUAGUCUUAAUUGUUUAGACACACAUAUGAACUAUCGAAGGCAAAUGUGUAUAAGUUCAAGAAACCUUGAUAAAAGAUUAUCAAAGCACUAAGUAUUAGAAACAUGAACUUAAGAAAUUCAAUAAGCAUUUUUUUUCUGAAAGUUAAGAUGUUUAUGAAUACAUGUCGAAGCUAGUGGGAGCAUAAGUGUUAUGUUUUAUAAUAAUCAUCAAGAUAGUGGGAGCAUAAAAGUUAUGAUUGUAUGAUUAUUAAGGAAAGUAUUGCAAGGUUAGCAAUAUUAAUUAUAGAAAACAAGAGUCAUACUUUGCAAAGUCGCAAUAGUUGAAGAGUUGUUUUGCUAUAAUUAAGGGAGAGAAUAUUAUGCUUCAUUUCAAAUCUAAAGGUUUAGGUUGAGAAAUGUUAAUAAAAUUUAGUCAAAGGUACAAAGUGUGUUCUUAAAAUUUCGAUUAUGAUUACGGCAUCCCUCUUCACAAUUCGAAUUUUGAGAACAUAGCAAAUAAAACAUUAUGCGUCGUGUCCCAUACGCUUCGGGUAUAGGAUCGAUUGCAAAUGCUUUAAUGUUUGACCAUUCUAAAAUUUUCCAAAUGUCGAGCGCAUUUAGAGGGAAAAGGGACUAGAAUUGGUUUUGACUAAAAUAAUUAAACAACUAUCAAAGGACAAUCCAAAGUUCGACGAGGAUUGGUCGCUUGUGAGUAGUUGGAAGUAUAGUAUUGGAAAAUAUGGAAAUGUUUCCAUAUUGGAUGGACCAUAUCGACAUCAUUACGAAUAGAUAAGAUUCUAUUAAGAAUGAGUUGUCAUAUGGAACAUAUGGAAGUGUGUCCAUAUUGGGAAUUGAAUAUUGAGAAAUCUAUGACUAGAUUAGAAACUUCUAUGCAAAAGGAUGUUCAAAGAAUGUACUUUGAGUGAGAGACAUCACAUCUAUGGAAUUGUCUUGUAACAAUCUCCGAUAGAGGACUUUGUAAUAUCAUUGGCAAUAGUCUUUGUGACUUUGGUGCAGUGACAUUACGAAAGGAUAGUUGCAUAGAAUGUUAGAAUCUAGCAUAUUCUAUAAGUAGCAAGAAUUUGAUAUUCUUACACUUUUGAAAAAGGAUUUGGAGUUGUGAAAUGAGAAUGAUUGGAAAUGUGUUCAAUGUGAUCUAUUUCACAAAGUAAGAACCAUAGGUAAACAUUGUGUGCAUGCUAGGAGCAUGGGACAAGUGUUGUAAUUCAAGUAAGAAGUUGAUUACCCGAAACGACAAAUAAUGAGUAAUCAAUAUGGUGAUAAAUAAAAGGUGUUUUAUUUAUACUCAAAGGUUUGAGGCCAUAUGGGAUUAGUAUUAUUCUUGUGUUUCACAUUUGCAUGUUUUGACUUCCAGAAUAAUUGAGUUUAUUAAGAAUAAUCGAAUUAUUCAAACGGGCCACAGUCGUUCAUAUGUUGGAAGUAGAUAUGAAUGAAGACUGUCGUGAAUUGGUGUGUGGAUUGUCUAAAAGAGUAUUAGACAUAAGCAAAUGUUUGCUGCAACGUUCAUGAGUGCUUAUGAAUAUGAUUUGAGCAUUGGAUUAAACCCACGCUCACUUGGAUCACUCCAUGAAUUGUAUCACGAGUGAUUGGUGAGACGAUAACAUCUUAUAUUCUUGAAACCGAGAUGUGUGAGUUGUAUCUUGCGAAUCGGUUGCACAUUGAUAAUAUGUAAACGCACUAGUAACUUGGUGUUAUAAAACAUAUUGUUGUGUGUGAUUCGGUGCGUGAGUGCAAGCAAGCAUUGUAUCAAAGUUUAUCCGUUCCUUUUAUCCAAAGUAGGAUAAAAGCGAUAUCUUUGGGCCCCUCGAUGGUUUAGUGAUGACAAACGUAAAUGCUCGGCCGGGCUAGGGCUAAUUUGAUUUGUUCAAUUAGUCAGUCGUCAUAAAUCGGAAAUCGAGAUAUAGUACAAAGAGAAUGAUUUGAAAUCAUAUCUCAUAUGAUAUCUAGAAUGGAGGAAUAUAUGAUCCCUUAUCUAAGGACACGCGUAUUUGAUAUGAUCAGAGUUGACAGCGGCUUUGGAAAGCUACGAUUGCAGAUCGGGAUCCGAAGUCAUACGCAGAAUAGUUGUUAGACUUAUCCAAGUGGGAGACUGUUGGAUUAGUGUCUAAGUCCAUAACUAUUUUGGUAUGUACUUGACCCGAUGGUGCAUGGUCCUUUUGGGUUGCCUUCACCAAAGCAACUUGAUUGGAGAAAUAAAUAAAGAGAGAGAGGUUAUUAUGAUUUAUUAAUAUGUUAUAAGAAUAAUAUAUUAAAGGAGAAAUCAUAUUUGUUUAAUUAAUAUUGGUCAAUAAUUAAUUAAGAAUUAAUUUUGUGAUCAAGUGUAAUUAAUUAAACUAGAGGGGCUGAAUUGUAAUUAUGUGAUAGUUACAAAAUAAGGUAAGAAUUAUCUUAUAUAUAUGGUGGACGAAUUUGAAGUGAUAAUCACUUAGAAUUCGACUAUGAUAAGGAUUCAAGGAUUAUCUUAUGGGUUGCUUGGUGGAUAAGCAACUAGAUAAGGAUAAUGACUGAAACUUUAUCUUUACACCUAUAUAAACCCUCUAGGGCUUAGGAAUUCGUCUAACCCUUCCCAAGAGGUCCUAAGGACGAAUUCCUACCUCCCUCCUCUCUCUUUAUACCUUCUCCACUUGCUUAUCGUGUUUGUAAGCCAUCAGAGGAGUGACACUUGUGACUCUCAGCUUUCCAAGGUCAAUUCAAGGAGGAAUUAGAUUGUUAUUGCUAUAUAACAAUCAAGGUAUGUUCUUAAACCUAUUUACAUGUGAAUUCUGAUUUCCAUAUGCUAGAAUUAGGGUUUAUAGUCUUGGAUUCAAAGCAUGUACAAUAGAGAAACCUAGAUCCGAGCUUUAGGGUUUGUAUGAGCACAUAGGAUGUCUUAUGACCAAAACCCAUCAAAUAACACCCAAUUAAU